rnacentral:rRNA from 1 species
CUACCCUUGACAUGCCUGGAACGAAGCAGAGAUGCAUUAGGUGCCCGAAAGGGAAGGUGGACACAGGUGCUGCAUGGCUGUCGUCAGCUCGUGUCGUGAGAUGUUGGGUUAAGUCCCGCAACGAGCGCAACCCUUGUCUCUAGUUGCUACGCAAGGGCACUCUAGGGAGACUGCCGGUGACAAACCGGAGGAAGGUGGGGAUGACGUCAAGUCCUCAUGGCCCUUAUGGGUAGGGCUUCACACGUCAUACCAUGGUCGCUACAGAGGGUCGCCAACCCGCGAGGGGGAGCCAAUCUCAGAAAACGCAUCGUAGUCCGGAUCGUAGUCUGCAACUCGACURCGUGAAGCUGGAAUCGCUAGUAAUCGCGGAUCAGAAUGYCGCGGUGAAUACGUUCCC